CUAAUUCGAUCUAUUUCCUCCCCUCUCUCUCUCUCUCAAACUUUCUCCCCCUCUAUUUCCUCCGAUCUGCCACCGCCGCCCGUCGCCGCCCGCUGCUCGCCGCCUGCUGCCCGUCAAACGCCGUAGUUACGCCGAUCGCUGCCCGCCGCCUGCUUCCCCCUAAUUCGCCCCCAAUCUCUCUUUCCUCCGAUCUGCCGUCGCCAGCCGUUGCCGUCGCCGAUAGCCGCCCGCCGCCACCUCCUGCUGCUUGUGGUUCGCCGUCAUCCCGCCGCCUGCUGCCCCCUAAUUCGCCCCCAAUCUCCGCUGCCGAUCCGUUGCCGUCGCCAGCCGUUGCCGUCGCCGACAGCCGUCCGCCGCCAUCCCUCCGCCGUUGCCGACAGCCCUCCGCCGUUGCCGACAGCCCUCCACCGCCAGCCGUUACCGUCUGCCGCUAUUCCUCCUUUGUCAAGGUAAUUUUCUGUUUUUUUAAAUGUUUGUUUGUUUAUGUUGAAAAUUUUG
rnacentral:lncRNA from 1 species